UGGGGAAUUUUGGACAAUGGGCGAAGCCUGAUCCAGCAAUGCCGCGUGUGUGAAGAAGGCCUUCGGGUUGUAAAGCACUUUUGUCCGGAAAGAAAUACCUUGGCUCUAAUACAGUCGGGGGAUGACGGUACCGGAAGAAUAAGCACCGGCUAACUACGUGCCAGCAGCCGCGGUAAUACGUAGGGUGCAAGCGUUAAUCGGAAUUACUGGGCGUAAAGCGUGCGCAGGCGGUUUGCUAAGACCAUGUGAAAUCCCCGGGCUCAACCUGGGAACUGCAUUGGUGACUGGCAGGCUAGAGUAUGGCAGAGGGGGGUAGAAUUCCACGUGUAGCAGUGAAAUGCGUAGAGAUGUGGAGGAAUACCGAUGGCGAAGGCAGCCCCCUGGGCCAAUACUGACGCUCAUGCACGAAAGCGUGGGGAGCAAACAGGAUUAGAUACCCUGGUAGUCCACGCCCUAAACGAUGUCAACUAGUUGUUGGGGAUUCAUUUCCUUAGUAACGUAGCUAACGCGUGAAGUUGACCGCCUGGGGAGUACGUCGCAAGAUUAAAACUCAAAUGAAUUG
rnacentral:rRNA from 1 species